GACCCACCUUCACCCAGAUCCACAGUGCUCUCAGCAAGACCAUGAGGAGCCCGGACAACAUCGGGUCCUCCACCCUGGGACGCAGGUACUGAAAAGCUUCUCAUGGUUCCCCUCUCCUUGCAAAUCAUCAUGUUUUUCACUCUGAAGACAGAAAUCUCUUUCUGUGUUUGUCCAGGACCCUGGGCUCAUCUGUAUCACUAGCAGAACGAACGCUUCCCUCCUUCCCCUCAUUUAGUUCAGUUGGAGAGUGGUUAGAAGCUGUAGACAUGGGCCGCUACAAAGACAACUUCACUGCUGCUGGGUACUGUUACCUGGAGUCAGUGGCUCGCAUGACCAUUCAGGAUGUGCUGAGUCUCGGCAUAACCUCUCUGGAGCACCAGAAACAGAUCCUGUCCGCCAUACAGACUCUCAGAGCGCAGGUUAUCCAGAUGCACGGCCGUGGAGUGCAAGUCUGACAGACCCACAGCAGUGCGCUGGCUUACCGAGGAAAGACAUAUGGAUGUCUGUUCUCGUAAUUACCCAGCAGGCCAUUCGACGGUCAGGAGGUGAUAACCAAGACACUGCAAAUGGUGGUUUUCUUCCUAAUCUUCCCUUUUUCAUUCCUUUAUCUUCUCUUUGGGUGAACACUGGUUCUUUUCUUCCACAAACAAGUUCUUGUUUUCUGAGGGGGACAAUAUCACAAGCAAGAUGAUUCCUUUAGAAUAACCCGCGUGCUGAGUUUGACCUGCUUUUCUUCCGCUGUUCUUCAAUGACAUGAGCUCUGUCCCUUUUAGUAGGACUUUAAGGUGGUCGAUGCCCUCCGUCACUGUCCCCGGGGAAGGGCAGUUUGACUCUGAGCGAUCUCAGAGCAAUUAAAAGGGCGACUUGUAUUUUCUUUUUCCAAGCAAAAGAACUCAUGCUUUGUAGCCACUGAUCCUCCUAUAAAGUGGACUAAACCGAGAGCAUGUCAUCCAUUUGCUCCUCAGACUAGGAGAGCAUCUCGCCGUAUCUUCAGGACAUAAGUUGAGUACUGAUGUAAGGAAUCUUAAAUAAUAUGUAAAUCCCUUUCUGUGUGUGUAUUCUUGAUUUGGUUACUGUCUACUUUUUGCUUUCUUUCCUCCACACUUUAAACUAAUUUCUGAAUUUCCGAGUUUAAAUUAGUAUUGUCGGACGUCUGUACUCGUAAUGUUUUUCUUGUUCUGUCUGCUAUAGGGACAAUGUUUGCACUGCAGCGUCCAUGACUUACAGAAACUUGUACCAUAUUUAUUAGAUGAUUUAUUU
ensembl:lncRNA